UACGAAGGGGGCUAGCGUUGCUCGGAAUCACUGGGCGUAAAGCGCACGUAGGCGGCUUUCUAAGUCAGGGGUGAAAUCCUGGAGCUCAACUCCAGAACUGCCUUUGAUACUGGAGAGCUUGAGUCCGGAAGAGGUGAGUGGAACUCCGAGUGUAGAGGUGAAAUUCGUAGAUAUUCGGAAGAACACCAGUGGCGAAGGCG
rnacentral:rRNA from 1 species